GGUAUAGCCAAGCGGUAAGGCAACGGACUUUGACUCCGUCAUUCGCAAGUUCGAAUCUUGCUACC
rnacentral:tRNA from 1 species